GGAAUGAACUCUUUUCCACUUCAGUUGGAACACUUACAGGUUUAAUAGUUGAUAUAGCUAUUUCCAGGACAUGAGGUCUUGCUUCACAGAUUGCUGUUUGAACCACUUCUUCAACUACUACAUUAGGAACCACCUUGCAUUUAAUUCUUGCACAUAUGUAAAGUUUUCACAGAAUUUGAAAGAAUGCACCAUGGAUGGAACCAAGACAUGUUCCUGAAGAAAUGUUUUAUUCAACAAAACUUGCUCAACUUGAACAUUUUCCAGAGACAUCCAGCCUUGCCUGGGAGACC